CAUUUAGAAAAUGGAAUGAUCUUAACUACAGGAGGGCUCCCAUUACACGUGCUACCAAAGCACUCCAUGCUAAAAACUGAACUGACAGAUAAGACUGGUCUAUACAUCUUCAACAACUAUACUUAUAAAUAUAUGAAUAAAUUAUGUUAGCCACAACACAGAUAUUAAGCAGGCACUUUGGUGAUGAUGUCAUCCUCCCUAUCAUCAUCACAUGAAGCUUGUGUCGAGAACAAAUGUCUCAAUUCGAAGCUUGUGUUGUUAAAGGGGUCAUAUGAUAUGAUUUCAAGUUUUCCUUUCUCUUUAGAGUGUUAAAAGCUCUUUUUGAAUAGAUAAGAUCCCUAAAGUUGCAAAGACUAAAGUCUCAAACACAAAGAGAUUAAGGGAAGUGUCAUGAAAUACAGUCAAGUAUGGUGACCCAUACUCAGAAUUCGUGCUCUGCAUUUAACCCAUCCAAAGUGAACACACACAGCAGUGAACAUACAACUGCUUAAAUAUCUGUCAAUGAUUCUUCAAACACAAGCUUGAGCAGUGUAGAGUAACAAGUGUAGGCUUUCCUGGCUCUGCUCACGACUCCUCCGACACAGCAACCUGUAUCGCAGUGGGACAUAUCCACCACCGAGACACUUCCUCCUGGGUGAUGGAGGCUACCUCUGUUUGGAGAGGCCCAUUGCCCUGUUGACACCCUUCAGGCAGCCUUGUAAGAGUAGAGGCACAACAGAGGUUUAAUGCUCAUCAUGCCAAAGCCCACUCAGUCAUUGAGCGAGCAUUUGGCAUCAUGAAGGCCAGGUGGAGGGCCAUCUUCUUCCACACCCUGGAGGUUGAAACAUCAUUUGUCCCAGAUGUUGUGAUGGCAUGCACCAUACUGCAUAACAUCUGUAUUGGAAAUGGUGACAUUAUGGCAGUAGAAGAAGAGCAACCUGAGCAAGAAGACGUGGCUGGGGAGACUACAAAUGGAAGUGCUCUGCGUGAACGCACUUCUGCACAACUGUCCAUCCUGCAGGACCAUGUUGUUGAUCUUGAUUACCAUGUACAAUACAAUUCAACUUAAAUACAAACAAGAUUGAUAUUACCCUUUAUCUUUAUUUCACAUGUCUGACCUUGUUAUUAUUGCAUUUGUUUUUGUUAUUGCCUUUGUAUGUUUUAUAUUCUUGUUCCACACAUUUAAUACUAAUAUCACAGGUCAAUGUAGCAUAAAGCAGUAUUUAUAAAAGUUA